GGGUGCUCGAGUGGCGAACGGGUGAGUAACACGUGAGUAACCUGCCCUUGACUUUGGGAUAACUUCAGGAAACUGGGGCUAAUACCGGAUAGGAGCUCCUGCUGCAUGGUGGGGGUUGGAAAGUUUCGGCGGUUGGGGAUGGACUCGCGGCUUAUCAGCUUGUUGGUGGGGUAGUGGCUUACCAAGGCUUUGACGGGUAGCCGGCCUGAGAGGGUGACCGGCCACAUUGGGACUGAGAUACGGCCCAGACUCCUACGGGAGGCAGCAGUGGGGAAUAUUGCACAAUGGGCGGAAGCCUGAUGCAGCAACGCCGCGUGCGGGAUGACGGCCUUCGGGUUGUAAACCGCUUUCGCCUGUGACGAAGCGUGAGUGACGGUAAUGGGUAAAGAAGCACCGGCUAACUACGUGCCAGCAGCCGCGGUGAUACGUAGGGUGCGAGCGUUGUCCGGAUUUAUUGGGCGUAAAGGGCUCGUAGGUGGUUGAUCGCGUCGGAAGUGUAAUCUUGGGGCUUAACCCUGAGCGUGCUUUCGAUACGGGUUGACUUGAGGAAGGUAGGGGAGAAUGGAAUUCCUGGUGGAGCGGUGGAAUGCGCAGAUAUCAGGAGGAACACCAGUGGCGAAGGCGGUUCUCUGGGCCUUUCCUGACGCUGAGGAGCGAAAGCGUGG
rnacentral:rRNA from 1 species